rnacentral:tRNA from 1 species
UAUAAUAAAAAUUUUUAAGGAAAGAGAGGGAUUCGA